rnacentral:rRNA from 1 species
AACGCCUGUCGGUUAAUACCCGGCAGGAAAGACAUCACUCGCAGAAGAAGCACCGGCUAACUCCGUGCCAGCAGCCGCGGUAAUACGGAGGGUGCAAGCGUUAAUCGGAAUUACUGGGCGUAAAGCGCGCGUAGGUGGCUUGAUAAGCCGGUUGUGAAAGCCCCGGGCUCAACCUGGGAACGGCAUCCGGAACUAUUAGGCUAGAGUGCAGGAGAGGAAGGUAGAAUUCCCGGUGUAGCGGUGAAAUGCGUAGAGAUCGGGAGGAAUACCAGUGGCGAAGGCGGCCUUCUGGACUGACACUGACACUGAGGUGCGAAAGCGUGGGUAGCAAACAGGAUUAGAUACCCUGGUAGUCCACGCCGUAAACGAUGUCGACCAGCCGUUGGGUGCCUAGCGCACUUUGUGGCGAAGUUAACGCGAUAAGUCGACCGCCUGGGGAGUACGGCCGCAAGGUUAAAACUCAAAUGAAUUGACGG